UAGUGAAUCACGACCCUGAGGCUCCAAUGCCCAAUGGCGCAGAAGCAGCAAACACUACAGCAGAUAACAGUGAUCAGACCACUGCACGAAACACAGUCUAUGAGAUGAUAACAGACCCUCCACCUCUGCCACCUCGAAGACCUCAAGGGCACAAUGAUUUUUUCAAAUCUCCACCUCAACAUCCUCCAAGUGUUCACGCUUCUGCCCCUCCUCCCCGUCUUCCUCAAG